rnacentral:lncRNA from 1 species
AAUAAUGGAACAUUGAACAAUGCAUGGGAGUAUGAACAUGUUAAACAAUCAAGCAAUAGAAAGCAUGAAUGAGAGAAACAAGUAUAAGAGAUAACAGAUGAAUCAAACAGAUGAAAAGAUGCACAAAAGGGUUCACUGAAUAAUUAAAUCAAGAAGUGAGGUAAGGACCAAAUAAAAUCAAGAUGAAACGCCUCUAAUACAUGGCAUAUGAGAUGAACAAGGGAGGAUCAAAAGAUCUCUUCAAUUGCCAUAAGCAAU